AACGAACGCUGGCGGCAUGCCUAACACAUGCAAGUCGAACGAAGGCUUCGGCCUUAGUGGCGCACGGGUGCGUAACGCGUGGGAAUCUGCCCUUGGGUUCGGAAUAACAGUUAGAAAUGACUGCUAAUACCGGAUGACGUCUUCGGACCAAAGAUUUAUCGCCCAGGGAUGAGCCCGCGUAGGAUUAGGUAGUUGGCGGGGUAACGGCCCACCAAGCCGACGAUCAGUAACUGGUGUGAGAGCACGACCAGUCACACGGGCACUGAGACACGGGCCCGACUCCUACGGGAGGCAGCAGUAAGGAAUAUUGGUCAAUGGACGCAAGUCUGAACCAGCCAUGCCGCGUGGAGGAUGAAGGUCCUCUGGAUUGUAAACUUCUUUUAUCUGGGAAGAAAUCCAUUUUUUCUAAAAUGGUUGACGGUACCAGAUGAAUAAGCACCGGCUAACUCCGUGCCAGCAGCCGCGGUAAUACGGAGGGUGCAAGCGUUAUCCGGAUUCACUGGGUUUAAAGGGUGCGUAGGUGGGCAAGUAAGUCAGUGGUGAAAUCUCCGGGCUUAACCCGGAAACUGCCAUUGAUACUAUUUGUCUUGAAUACUGUGGAGGUCAGCGGAAUAUGUCAUGUAGCGGUGAAAUGCUUAGAUAUGACAUAGAACACCAAUUGCGAAGGCAGCUGGCUACACAAAUAUUGACACUGAGGCACGAAAGCGUGGGGAUCAAACAGGAUUAGAUACCCUGGUAGUCCACGCCCUAAACUAUGGAUACUCGACAUUUGCGAUAAACUGCAAGUGUCUGAGCGAAAGCAUUAAGUAUCCCACCUGGGAAGUACGAUCGCAAGAUUG
rnacentral:rRNA from 1 species